CAACGACAGAAUCGUUGAGCCUCUCUCCGACUGUGUCGCUGAGAAUAAAACCCUUUGGUGGUUUCUCAGUCAACACUGUCGUUGAAAAUAAAACAAUAAUUAAACAUGCUCUCCACAAUUAGGAAAGCAUAAACUGUAGGUGUUUUGAAGCUAAUAUUCCAGCCAUUUUGUUUUGACGAGAGCUAGUCCAGAUCUAGACUAGAUCUACUUGAUCAACGAUUUACACUGAUGUAAAACCUACGUAAAUCAAAUCUACAAGAUCAGGAUUUACAUUUAGAUCUAGAAAUCUACAUUAUUGACUAGAGAGAAAAAGUUAAAAGUAUGCCUAGUGCGUCGAAAGUUCAUCCAAAAAAAAAGGGAAGAUCUGAUUUUUACCAGUAAUAAGACUACAGCAUACUAAAUGACACAAGAUGUUCUUUCUCUAUUACCUCUUACAUUUGACAUAAAAGUAGGAAAAGGUUUAACAGUCUAUGCCUACAACAUAGAUCUCCAGGACUAAAAGUACACAAAAUGGCAAUCAGUAUAUCACAAGUGUAAUAACACAUGCAUCUAAUCUGCUUCAGUGGCGAGAACUGGGUGAAUCCUCUCAAACAUUAAUCAGGAACUAGGCAUACCUAAUGAGCGUCAAGCUGAUACAGUAGAUGUACAGAAGAGUUUAUACACAAGGAAGUGAAAAGUGAUGUAAAAGGCAACUAAUACUUCCAUCUACCAUAGUUAAACAAGAAUCUUCAAAUGGUGAUAAUUGCAAUAAUCUUGAUAUAUUAAUGUUUGGCUUUAUAAUUAUAUGC